AUCCGGAUCCGGAUCCGUCGGAUCCGGAUCCGGAUCCGUCGGAUCCGGAUCCGGAUCCGUCGGAUCCGGAUCCGGAUCCGUCGGAUCCGGAUCCGGAU
rnacentral:pre_miRNA from 1 species